UACGUAGGGGGCUGGCGUUGUCCGGAAUCAUUGGGCGUAAAGCGCGCGUAGGCGGCCUGGUAAGUCCGCUGUGAAAGUCAAAGGCUCAACCUUUGAAUGUCAGCGGAUACUGCCAGGCUAGAGUCCGGAAGAGGCGAGUGGAAUUCCUGGUGUAGCGGUGGAAUGCGCAGAUAUCAGGAGGAACACCAACGGCGAAGGCAGCUCGCUGGGACGGUACUGACGCUGAGGCGCGAAAGCGUGGGGAGCGAACAGG
rnacentral:rRNA from 1 species